UAGGGAAUAUUGGACAAUGGACGAAAGUCUGAUCCAGCAAUGCCGCGUGAGUGACGAAGGAUUUCGGUCUGUAAAGCUCUUUUCUGAGGGAAGAAAUGGCACAAGAGGAAAUGCUCGUGUCUUGACGGUACCUCAGGAAUAAGGGACGGCUAACUCCGUGCCAGCAGCCGCGGUAAUACGGAGGUCCCAAGCGUUGUUCGGAAUUACUGGGCGUAAAGGGAGCGCAGGCGGACUGGCAAGUCUAAAGUGGAAUCCCGGGGCUCAACCUCGGAACUGCUUCGGAUACUAUCAGUCUUGAGUUCGUGAGAGGAAAGCGGAAUUCAGGGUGUAGCGGUGAAAUGCUUAGAUAUCCUGAGGAACACCAAUGGCGAAGGCAGCUUUCUGGCGCGAUACUGACGCUGAGGCUCGAAAGCGUGGGGAGCGAACGG
rnacentral:rRNA from 1 species